AACAUUUCUCGGCCUUUUGGCUAAGAUCAUGUGUAAUAUCUGUUCUUAUCAGUUUGAUUCUAUAUCAGCAUAUUUAUGUAUUUGUACCUUAAAAAUUUUGAAAAGACCUUCU